GAAUAUUGGACAAUGGGGGCAACCCUGAUCCAGCAAUGCCGCGUGUGUGAAGAAGGCCUUCGGGUUGUAAAGCACUUUAAGUUGGGAGGAAAAGCUGCUUGUUAAUAGCGAGUAGUGUUGACGUUACCAACAGACUAAGCACCGGCUAACUCCGUGCCAGCAGCCGCGGUAAUACGGAGGGUGCAAGCGUUAAUCGGACUUACUGGGCGUAAAGCGCGCGUAGGCGGUUUGUUAAGUCAGAUGUGAAAUCCCCGGGCUCAACCUGGGAAUGGCAUUUGAGACUGGCAGGCUAGAGUGUGGUAGAGGUGAGUGGAAUUUCAGGUGUAGCGGUGAAAUGCGUAGAUAUAGGAAGGAACACCAGUGGCGAAGGCGGCUACCUGGACCAACACUGACACUGAGGUGCGAAAGCGUGGGGAGCAAACAGG
rnacentral:rRNA from 1 species